rnacentral:tRNA from 1 species
UGUGUCGUUAUCCCGUAGAUGGUAGCGGUGGGGACUGUAAAUCCCUUGUCAUUGAGACUCGGUAGGUUCGACUCCUACACGGCACACCAA